rnacentral:rRNA from 1 species
GAUGAACGCUGGCGGCGUGCCUAAUACAUGCAAGUCGAGCGAACGGACGAGAAGCUUGCUUCUCUGAUGUUAGCGGCGGACGGGUGAGUAACACGUGGAUAACCUCCCUAUCAGACUGGGAUAACUUCGGGAAACCGGAGCUAAUACCGGAUGAUAUUUUGCACCGCAUGGUUCAAAAGUGAAAGACGGUCUUGCUGUCACUUAUAGAUGGAUCCGCGCUGCAUUAGCUAGUUGGUAAGGUAACGGCUUACCAAGGCAACGAUGCAUAGCCGACCUGAGAGGGUGAUCGGCCAAACGGGAACUGAGACACGGUCCAGACGCCUACGGGAGGCAGCAGUAGGGAAUCUUCCGCAAUGGGCGAAAGCCUGACGGAGCAACGCCGCGUGAGUGAUGAAGGUCUGCGGAUCGUAAAACUCUGUUAUUAGGGAAGAACAUAUGUGUAAGUAACUGUGCACAUCUUGACGGUACCUAAACAGAAGUCCACGGCUAACUACGUG